GUGACCCUGCGGCGUUCGAUGCCGGGCAUUCAGCAUUCUUGAGCCUACAAGCAGACGCCUCAGGAGAUGGUUUGUGGUGAUGACUGGUGUGCACGUCCGCUCUGCCAAAAGCUUAGCGGAAAGCCUAAAGCGUUACUCGCUAUCUCCGACCUGAACCUCAGGGUUCAAGGGCGUUGCCCGAACGGCGUCGUGGGGUCCUU
rnacentral:other from 1 species